rnacentral:misc_RNA from 1 species
AAAGUCGUAACAAGGUCUCCGUAGGUGAACCUGCGGAGGGAUCAUUAUUGAAACUUGGAUUCAACCAAGAGAAGGGGGAUUGGAGGGGGAUGAAGGAGUGCUUUCCUGGUGCUCUUGAUUCUUUUCUCUGUCUCUUUUUCUCUUGGACAACCAAACAACACACAUCACUAUGAAAAAUAACACACACAGAGGGUUGAUUUGGACUGCGCUCUCUGGAAAAGUUCUUGUCUGAUAAGUAGCUUGCUGAUUUGGAGUUACUAUAAUCAAUACAACUUUCAACAACGGAUCUCUUGGCUCUC